rnacentral:rRNA from 1 species
UGGGGAAUAUUGCGCAAUGGGGGAAACCCUGACGCAGCAACGCCGCGUGAGUGACGAAGGCCUUCGGGUCGUAAAGCUCUGUCGGAGGGGAAGAAACUACCAAUGGCUAACAUCCAUAGGUAUUGACGGUACCCUCAAAGGAAGCACCGGCUAACUCUGUGCCAGCAGCCGCGGUAAUACAGAGGGUGCAAGCGUUGUUCGGAAUCAUUGGGCGUAAAGGGCGUGUAGGCGGUAUGUUAAGUCAUGUGUGAAAUCCCUCGGCUCAACCGGGGAACGACGCAUGAAACUAGCAAGCUAGAGUACCAAAGAGGGUGGUGGAAUUCCCGGUGUAGCGGUGAAAUACGUAGAUAUCGGGAGGAACACCUGUGGCGAAGGCGGCCACCUGGUUGGAUACUGACGCUGAGACGCGAAAGCGUGGGGAGCAAACAGGAUUAGAUACCCCGGUAGUCCCUGAGCGGGCUGGCAAGGCGCAU